rnacentral:rRNA from 1 species
CUCAGAACGAACGCUGGCGGCGCGUUUUAAGCAUGCAAGUCGAGCGGUAAGCUAACUUCGGUUAGCCUAGAGCGGCGGACGGGUGAGUAACACGUGGAUAAUCUACCUCCUUGUUUGGGAUAGCUUGUGGAAACAUAAGGUAAUACCGAAUGAGAUUCAUUAGUCAUAAGGCUUUUGAAGGAAAGGCGCUGAGGCGUCGCAAGGAGAUGAGUCCGCGGCCCAUUAGCUAGACGGCAGGGUAAAAGCCUACCGUGGCAAUGAUGGGUAGCCGGCCUGAGAGGGUGAUCGGCCACAUUGGAACUGAGAUACGGUCCAGACUCCUACGGGGGGCAGCAGCUAAGAAUCUUCCGCAAUGGACGAAAGUCUGACGGAGCGACGCCGCGUGAACGAUGAAGGCCGUGAGGUUGUAAAGUUCUUUUCGAGAGGAGGAAUAAGGUUUGCAGGGGAAUGGCAGACUGAUGACGUUAAUCUCGGAAUAAGCCCCGGCUAACUACGUGCCAG